rnacentral:lncRNA from 1 species
GUCAUCAGUGUUUUUCUUUCUUUUGAGAAAAUUGAAUAUCAAAAUUUUUGAUUUGGGAUAUGGAAGUAGAUGAAAUAGAACUGGAAAGAAAGAGAAUAUCAAUGAAAUAGAAAAACCCUUAUAGGUUGUUGAAUUUUUCAGGGGAUAUGAAACUGGAUAGCAAUCGAAUAUACUAACAUUAAUAGGUUAGAGGGAAAAUAAUGAAAUUGGGAAAUCUUUUUCAUUUCUUGACUUUUUUGACUUUUUUGAGAUAUGGAGGAAGAGAAAAUUGGAAAUUAAAAGGAAAAGAGGAAGAGGAUGAGAUCUGAAAAUUGAGAAAAGGGAGAAGAUGAGAUCUUAAAUUGAAGAAAAAGGGAGAAGAUGAGAUCUGAAAUUGAGAAAAACGGAGAAAGAUAAGGUCUGAAAUUGAGAAGAAAAAAAGAAGAUGAGGUCUGAAAUUGAGAAAAAAAGGAAGAAGAUGAGAUCUGAAAUUACGAAAAGAAAAAACUAAGGGAAAGAGAGAGAUAGGGAAGAUGGGUUACAAUGAAAUUUGUUUUAUAGCCUAGAUCAAGUUAUAAAGGAAAUGAGUUAAACGAUGUGGGACUUAAUAUGACGACACGUAGUAAAUUUGGUAUAUUUUUUUUUUAAAAUGGCUAAUAAAAUAUGACGUGUUGUUAGAUAUGACCUUCUAUACCCAAUUAAACCGUGGCAUGAAUAAGCCAUAGUAAUAACGAUCAUAGCAAAAGUGGUACCUAAUUUAUCUUCUAUAAAGACAUCAACAACAAUUAAAUGAGAAAUUGCCAAGAGAAAUAUAUUCCUAAAAAGGAAAAAUAACUACAAUAAAAUAGUGUGCUAAUCAAAAGUACAAAAGACAAGUAGAAAGUAAAUAAAGUCGAAGGACAAGAAACUAUAGGAGAAAUAUCAAGGCUACCGCUAGGGGUGUUCACGGGUUGGUUUGGGUAGGUUAUUGGUCAAAACUAAAAUCAAAUCAAUUUAAUUAGUUUUGAAAUUAUCAAAACCAAACCAAAUAUAAUAUACAUUUAUCGGUUUGGUUGUUUUCGGUUUUGGUUUGGUUUGGUUUGGUUCGGUUAUUUCGUUAUUAACCAUACAAGAAAAUAAAAGAAACAAUUCAUUCAAAACGUGAAAAAAUUGACAACAAUCCAUUCAAACGAAAAAAUAGUUAGAAUGACCGGCAUUACAGAACUUUGGAUCAUUAAAUUUACUGAAUAAAACUUCAAAAUUCACUAUUUUGGCAUAGAAGGAAGAGAUAAUGAUAUUUUCAGUCCUACAAUGAAUUUCCAUAGAUACUCAUAUACAUGAAACCAAUAAGAAAAAGGUUCUCACCUUGGACAUUUUUUCUUUCAUAAGUAAAUUAUAAAUAAAUUUUGAUGAAACAUAUAUAAAAUCUUUAAAAUUGUUUAUGAAUAUAAUAUAUUAUGUAUGCAUAAUAAUAAAAUUUAUGUAUAUAACUUGUUGGUUCGGUUCGGUUAUUUCUUCAAAUUUUUUCGAACAAAACCAUAACCAAACCAAAUACUAUCGGUUCUUAACAAUCUAAAACCAAACCAAACCAAAACCCAAAUUAAAUCGGUUCAUUUAAUCGGUUUGAUUUGAUUUUUCGAUUUGAAUCGGUUUUAAUCCAAACCAUGAACACCCCUAAUUAUUUCCAUUAAGUUUUUCACUUUAUUUAAGUCAGUAAUAAUACUUUUGAUACCAUGUUUGUUAUUGACAUAUCUUUAGGCAAGAAUUUUAACAAUUAUGCAUGUGACAUACACAUUCAAGCAAAUCAAUAACCUUCUAUCUAAGGUCAUGUCCUUGGUAUAUUUAUAAGGCAUAUUUUCGCAUUUAUGAGCCAACUUUUAGAAUUUACGCAACUUUCUUGGUUUUUCGUAUGUAUUAACCUAUAGUCCCGUGAUUUUUAAGGCAUAUGCUUGAACCAUCACAGUCUAGCUUCCUGCAUCGUGUCCUUUAUUAAGACCACUCCUAUCUUAUUUCGGAUAUCUUCAUUCUUAAUCGAAUCUCUCAUAGUAUUCCGACAUAUUCACCACAACAUUCUCAUUUUCUCAAUUUUAAUAUUGUGAACGUAAGAGUUCUUGACUAGCCAACACUCCGCCCAAUACUCUAACCACCACUCUGCAGAACUUGUCUUUGAGUUUUGAUGGCAUCUUCUCAUCACACAAUACUUCAGAUACGAACCUACAUUUAAUCCACUCUGCAUCAAUACGAUGUGUGACAUUAUCAUCACUUUGUCCAUUCCUUGAAUAAUAGACCCAAGAUACUUGAUCUUCCUUUCUUUUGAAUGACAUGUGCAUCAAACUUCACUUCUACUCCACCCUUAUAUUAACAUACCAAUAAAUUAAAGCACUUCAAUUUAAAAUCUUAAGGUAAAAGUGUUUACAAACUCAUAAAUCCUAAUAGUAAAUUAUCACAAGUGAAAGAAUGUUGUAAAAGAAAAACCUUAAACUCUCUAACACAAUUAAAUAUGUAUAAACCCCUUUAAAAUGUUAAAGUAGCCUUGAAUUGUUAAUUGGCUAAUUGCCAUUUAGUAAGUCAUAUAGUUCAUCCAUCUAAUAAGUCAUUUAUAUAAUGCAUAAUCUUGACUUGAAAAGGAAAAAAUAAAGAGGGUACCAAAAGGUUCAUCUUUAUUGCUAAAAACUAUGUUUUUCCCUAUGGCCUAGACACAAUUGCAAAAAGAAAAACCAAUACUCUAGUGAAUUAGCUUCAACUACCCUGCACAGACUUCAUAUCAUACCCUUAAAGUUUCUUAACAUAAAUCUAUGGCAAAUUUAAUGAUCAGAAAGUAACAUGGCAUUGCCCUCCAACACAAGUGCAUUCAUAUCUUAAUCUCUUUACCAAAAAUCCAGCUGACAGGAACGGGACUUCGCUGCUUGGCCCUUGCCUGUGCUCUCUCCUCCAAUUUUCUAAUCCUCGGAGCCAGUCCACAUACAUAAUCUUGUGCUCUGCGUCCUUCACCAGAAAGAUGCAGUAUAAAAAGAAGUCCACUAGCACCGGAAUCUUCCUCAAAAAGAGGCAGCAAGAGUUGUAUGAGUACAAAAUCAUGCGUACUCCAUAGGCAUCAUAGGCCUACCAACCAGAGUUAGUAACAAUAAUGUACAGAGGAUGUUAUUAACUGUGCACUCAGAAAAUGUCCCUGCAGUUCAGUAUAAGAUAGUCAAUAAGAAGCAACGCAAAGCAAAACAAUAAUAAAAAUGCAACGCAAUAUGAUGCAAUGCUAAUGACCCUACUAAUCCUCCAAUUUUCUAAUCCGCGGAGCCAGUCCACACACAUAAUCUUGUGCUCUGCGUCCUUCACCAGAAAGAUGCAGUAUAAAAAGAAGUCCACUAGCACCGGAAUCUUCCUCAAAAAGAGGCAGCAAGAGUUGUAUGAGUACAAAAUCAUGCGUACUCCAUAGGCAUCAUAGGCCUACCAACCAGAGUUAAUAACUAUAACGUACAGAGGAUGUUAUAAACUGUGCACUUAGAAAAUGUCCCUGCAGUUCAGUAUAAGAUAGUCAAUAAGAAGCAACGCAAAGCAAAACAAUAAUAAAAAUGCAACGCAAUAUGAUGCAAUGCUAAUGACCCUACUAACAUACACUCCACAGGAAAUGUUGUCAGGUGGGACCCAUGAGGGACUUGUGAGGUCCAUAUACCCUACCUGGACUCGAACCAAGACUUUCGUCAAUAUAGUCUGUCCGAUUCAAUAAAUUUACUUUCAAGUCAAGCCCUUAGACCACAUUUCACCACUAUAAGCAUAUUGCUUUCAAUAUAAUGUCAAUCUUGACAAAUUAACCCCUCAUAUGUGAUAAAAUACCCGAAAUUGAGUAAAACUUGGCAAUGAUGUAAUUUCAAGUCAUCACCCGAGUUAAGUAUGAGAAAAGUAAGCAAUAACCUACCUUGAAAGUCGAGUAACGUGCCACACAUAAAUGCACAGACAUAUAUUUAAAGUACUUCUUUUAGUAGCAUCACGGCUCAAUUAUAAGGGAGUAAUUUUAUCCUUGAUAGCAACGCAGGAACUCUUCAUAACUGUUAGGGUACCGAAUCCCAUCAGCUAAAAAUCCUUAUUGUUAUUGUCACCACUCAAUGAUGGUCCCUCCCCCCUACUUAAUUUCACUUCUGGAGGAUCAAUACUGGUGGUGAUGAGGUGAAAGUAGAGAUUAAAAAUGUUUAGGAGGAAAUGAAGAAUAUAUCAGAAAAUAAUUCUGUUGGAAAGUUUGAGGAAAUCACGUCGUUAGACGUAAAGGACUAUGAAGACCUGGGGUUGAUAAUAGAACUAGAGGAAUUAGGAGAAAGUAGUUUUGAAAAUUCUAGCAUAUAUUUUAAUGUACCAUAUAAGGUGUACAACACUAGCUUUUUCAAAAUUACUUAUCCCUAAUUCCUCCAAUUCUACAAUCAAUCCCAACUCCUCAUAGUCUUUCACGUCUAACGACGUGAUUUCUUCCAGCUUUUCAAUAGAACUAUUUUUUGAUAUAUCUUCACUUCCUCCUCAACAUUUUUAAUCUCUACUCUCACCUCAUCACCACCGGUAUUGAUCCUCCAGAAGUGAAAUUAAGUGGGGGCAGGGGGGAACCAUCAUUGAGUGGUGACAAUAACAAUAGGGAUUUUGAGAUGAUUGAAUGGAUUUGGUACCCUAACAGUUACGGAGAGUUGUUGCGGAUCAUCAGUGUUUUUCUUUCUUUUGAGAAAAUUGAAUAUCAAAUAUUUUGAAUUGGGAUAUGGAAGUCGAUGAAAUUGAAUUGGAAAGAAAGAGAAUAUCAAUGAAAUAGAAAAACCCUUAUAGGUUCUUGAAUUUUUCAGGGGAUAUGAAACUAGAAAUCAAUCGAAUAUACUAACGUUAAUAGUUUAAAGGGGAAAGAAUGAAAUUGGAAAAUCCUUUUCAAUUUGAGAUAUGGAGGUAGAGAAACUUGAAAGAAAAUGAAUUGGAAAUUAAAAGGAAAAGAGGAUGAGAUCUGAAAUUGAGAAAAAGGGAAGAAGAUGAGAUCUGAAAUUGAGAAAAAAGGAAGAAGAUGAGAUCUGAAAUGGAGAAAAAAAGAAGAAGAUUAGAUCUGAAAUCGGGAAAAGAAAAAAUUAAGGGAAAGAGAGAGAAAGGGAAGAUGGGCUAAAAUAAAAUUUGUGUUAUAGCAUAGAUCAAGUUAUAAAGGAAAUGAGUUAAACGGUGGGGGAUUUAAUUUGACGACACGUCGUAAAUUUGGUAUUUAAAAUUUUUAAAAAAUUGGCUAAUAAAAUAUGACGUGUUGUUAGAUAUGACAUUCUAUACCCAAUUAACCCGUGGCAUGAAUAAGCCAUAGUCAUAACGAUCAUAGCAAAAGUGGUACCUAAUUUAUCUGCUAUAAAGACAUCAACAACAAAUAAAUGAGAAACUGCCAAGAAAAAUAUAUUCCUAAAAAGGAAAAAUAACUACAAUAAAAUAGUGUGCUAAUCAAAGUACAAGAGAUAAAUAGAUAGUAAAAAACUCAAAGUUUUAAGAACUAUAGGAGAAAUACUAGGGCUACCGCUAUGGAAGGAUAUGCAAGAGAAUAUUCUACUACCUAUUAACCUUCUAACCUAAUUCUUGUCUUCCACAACUUUCUAUCUAAGGUUAUGUCUUUGGUAAGCUACGACUGCAUCAUGUUCUAUCUAAUCACCUCUCCCCAAUACUUCUUCAGUCUACCUCUAUCUAUCCUGAAACCAUUCAUAACCCCUCACACUUUUACAUGGGCAUCUGUGCAUUUCCUCUUCAUAUGCUUAAACCAUCACAGUCUCGCUUUAUGCAUCGUGUCCUCUAUUGAGAUCACU